rnacentral:rRNA from 1 species
UACGGGGGGGGCAGGCGUUGUUCGGAAUUACUGGGCGUAAAGGGCUCGUAGGCGGCCAACUAAGUCAGACGUGAAAUCCCUCGGCUUAACCGGGGAACUGCAUCUGAUACUGGAUGGCUUGAGUUCGGGAGAGGGAUGCGGAAUUCCAGGUGUAGCGGUGAAAUGCGUAGAUAUCUGGAGGAACACCGGUGGCGAAGGCGGCAUCCUGGACCGACACUGACGCUGAGGAGCGAAAGCCAGGGGAGCAAACGGG